rnacentral:lncRNA from 1 species
CCCAGCCACACUGAAAACAUGGACAAACUUGGAAUCAAAAGUCACAGAAUUCUAACCACUUUUCUACAAUAAGAAAAUGGUGAGACAUUUCUCAAAUUUCUGAAUAUCGACCAAUUAA